ACGACUGAUCCAAAGAAACAUGAAGGAGAUGCUGCUGCUUCACUUUUUAAAUGUAAAGUUUAAAGUGCUGUGGACACUAAAUUGUGUUUACUUAAAAAAAAAGAAAUCUCAGAUAUAAAACCAGUUUUAUCUGGAAGGACACAAACCACCACAGGUAAUGUCUUUAUGAAUCAGUCUGGGGUCGUUCUCCUGCUGCAGCAUGAAUUUGGGACGGAUCAGAUGCCUCCAUGAAGAUGACGCUCGUGACGUUUCAGUGUUGGACGGUUAAGCUUCCACUGUGGCGGACUCUGAGUCUGUGGACGUCCUGGACAGAAAAUAAA